ACUGUAUGAUUUCAUUUAUAUAAAGUUCAAAACAGCCAAAAUUAAUUUAUGCUGCUAGAGGUCACAUUAGUGGCUGCCUCUGAGGAUGAACUGGGUGAGGCACAAAGAAUUGGGGGGUGCUGGAAAUGGUCUCCAUCUUGAGCUGGGUGGAGGUGCUCAGCUCUGCACUAGAGUCUGCACAGUGUAUGUAGGUUAUACUUUGCCGUGGAUUGAAUGUUUAUGUCUCCCCAAAGCACGUUUGUUGAAACCUUAAUCCCAAUGUGAUGGUAUUGAAGACGGAGACGUUGGGAGGUAAUUAGGUCAUGAGGGUGGAGCCCUCACGAUGGGAUUAGUGCCAUUAUAAAGCAUGAAAGAGGUUGUUUUCUCUCUCUCUCUUUUUCUCUCUGCCCCACCGUGUGAGCAAAUGAGGAAGAGGGCCCUCACCAGAACCCAUCCAUGCUGGCACCCUGAUCUGGGACCUGACAGCCUCCAGAACUGUGAGAAAUAAAUGUCCAUUAUUUAAGCAUCGAGUAAUUCUUGAUUCACAGGAACACAGUCCUUGCAAACAGGACCACUGGAGAGGCAACGUGACCUUGUUCUAAGAUUCACCUUGAAUUUAUCUAAUUGUCGUGCAAUAUGACUCUUACUCUAAACUCAGAAGCCGACCCUGAGACAAGGAUAGCAAAGGAAGCAACG
rnacentral:lncRNA from 1 species